GCAGUGGUGGUUCAGUGGUAGAAUAUCUGCCUUCCAUGUGGGAGGCUCGGGUUCAAUUUCCAGCCAAUGCC
rnacentral:tRNA from 1 species